rnacentral:rRNA from 1 species
UGGGGAAUCUUCCGCAAUGGGACGAAAGUCUGACGGAGCAACGCCGCGUGUAUGAUGAAGGUCUUCGGAUUGUAAAGUACUGUCAUUGGGGAAGAACGGUUUUCUUGAAAAGAUUGAGAAGACAUGACGGUACCCAAGGAGGAAGCCCCGGCUAACUACGUGCCAGCAGCCGCGGUAAUACGUAGGGGGCAAGCGUUGUCCGGAAUUAUUGGGCGCAAAGGGCGCGUAGGCGGGCCUUUAAGUCCGGUGUGAAAGAUCAGGGCUCAACCCUGAGAGUGCAUCGGAAACUGGAGGCCUUGAGGACAGGAGAGGAAAGUGGAAUUCCACGUGUAGCGGUGAAAUGCGUAGAUAUGUGGAGGAACACCAGUGGCGAAGGCGACUUUCUGGACUGUAACUGACGCUGAGGCGCGAAAGCGUGGGGAGCAAACAGGAUUAGAUACCCUGGUAGUCCACGCCGUAAACGAUGAGUGCUAGGUGUAGA